AUUGAACGCUGGCGGCAUGCUUUACACAUGCAAGUCGAACGGCAGCGGGGGCUUCGGCCUGCCGGCGAGUGGCGAACGGGUGAGUAAUGCAUCGGAACGUGCCCAGUCAUGGGGGGAUAACUACGCGAAAGCGUAGCUAAUACCGCAUACGCCCUGAGGGGGAAAGCGGGGGAUCGCAAGACCUCGCGUGAUUGGAGCGGCCGAUGUCGGAUUAGCUAGUUGGUGGGGUAAAGGCCUACCAAGGCGACGAUCCGUAGCGGGUCUGAGAGGAUGAUCCGCCACACUGGGACUGAGACACGGCCCAGACUCCUACGGGAGGCAGCAGUGGGGAAUUUUGGACAAUGGGGGGCAACCCUGAUCCAGCCAUGCCGCGUGAGUGAAGAAGGCCUUCGGGUUGUAAAGGCUCUUUCUAGACGGAAACGAAAUACGGGCGGGUGGAA
rnacentral:rRNA from 1 species